UACGAAGGGUGCAAGCGUUAAUCGGAAUUACUGGGCGUAAAGGGUGCGUAGGCGGUUGUUUAAGUCUGUCGUGAAAUCCCCGGGCUCAACCUGGGAAUGGCGAUGGAUACUGGGCAGCUAGAGUGUGUCAGAGGAUGGUGGAAUUCCCGGUGUAGCGGUGAAGUGCGUAGAGAUCGGGAGGAACAUCAGUGGCGAAGGCGGCCAUCUGGGACAACACUGACGCUGAAGCACGAAAGCGUGGGGAGCAAACAGG
rnacentral:rRNA from 1 species